rnacentral:sRNA from 1 species
UGGAAACCCAUGUGUGUUUGCCAUGUU